AUGCUGCGUUCUGAUAAGGAAGUUUGUCCUGAUUUAACAAAAUACAUGUUACAGUAGUACAUGAGCUGCCAUGGACCUGGUCAAAGUGAGGAACAAAUUCAUCUGGACGUGGAUACUUGCUGGUAUUUGUGUUUCUGUGACUGUAACUGGACGUGGACCCGACGCUCAAAAUUACACGCAUGAUCCUUACAUCGUGUCUCCGGAGAGAGUCCAGUACGGCAGUGAUGUAAACAUAACUUGCUAUAUU